rnacentral:tRNA from 1 species
GGGCCCUUAGCUCAGUGGUAGAGCGCUCCCCUCGCACGGGAGAGGCCGGGGGUUCGAAUCCCCCAGGGUCCA